rnacentral:rRNA from 1 species
AGUGAACGCUGGCGGUAGGCCUAACACAUGCAAGUCGAACGGCAGCACAGUAAGAGCUUGCUCUUACGGGUGGCGAGGGGCGGACGAGUGAGGAAUACAUCGGCAUCUACUUUUUCGUGGGGGAUAACGGAGGGAAACUUACGCUAAUAGCGCAUACGACCUACGGGUGAGAUCAGGAGAUCUUCGGACCUUGCGCGAUUGAAUGAGCCGAUGUCGGAUUAGCUAGGUGGCGGGGUAAAGGCUCACCAAGGCGACGAUCCGUAGCCGGUCUGAGAGGAUGAACAGCCCCACUGGGACUGAGACACGGUCCAGACUCCUACGGGAGGCAGCAGUGGGGAAUUUUGGGCAAUGGGGGCAAGCCUGAUCCAGCCAUCCCGCGUGGGUGAUGAAGGCCUUCGGGUUUUAAAGCACUUUUUGUAGGGAAGAAAAAACGCGGGCUAAAACCCCCUCGUUUUGACGGUACCUAAAGAAAAAGCCCCGGCUAACUACGUG